UGCGAAAGCAGGUCAUAGUGAUCCGGUGGUUCUGAAUGGAAGGGCCAUCGCUCAACGGAUAAAAGGUACUCCGGGGAUAACAGGCUGAUACCGCCCAAGAGUUCAUAUCGACGGCGGUGUUUGGCACCUCGAUGUCGGCUCAUCACAUCCUGGGGCUGAAGUAGGUCCCAAGGGUAUGGCUGUUCGCCAUUUAAAGUGGUACGCGAGCUGGGUUUAGAACGUCGUGAGACAGUUCGGUCCCUAUCUGCCGUGGGCGCUGGAGAACUGAGGGGGGCUGCUCCUAGUACGAGAGGACCGGAGUGGACGCAUCACUGGUGUUCGGGUUGUCAUGCCAAUGGCACUGCCCGGUAGCUAAAUGCGGAAGAGAUAAGUGCUGAAAGCAUCUAAGCACGAAACUUGCCCCGAGAUGAGUUCUCCCUGACUCCUUGAGAGUCCUGAAGGAACGUUGAAGACGACGACGUUGAUAGGCCGGGUGUGUAAGCGCAGCGAUGCGUUGAGCUAACCGGUACUAAUGAACCGUGAGGCUUAACCUUACAACGCCGAAGCUGUU
rnacentral:rRNA from 1 species